UGGGGGGUACUGCCUGCCCAGUGAAUAAACUUCAACGGCCGCGGUAUCCUGACCGUGCAAAGGUAGCACAAUCACUAGUCUCCUAAAUAGGGACCAGUAUCAAUGGCAAGACGAGGGCUCAACUGUCUCCCCUCUUACAAAUUAAACUUCUCUAGUCGUGCAAAAGCGACCAUAAAAGCGUCAGACGAGAAGACCCUAUCGAGCUUUAGAGAGCAAAACAAAGGCUGGAGCCAACUGCCGCUUCAUAAAUUUAAAUUUACUAUUAACAACGCCUACCCCUCUGUCCCUUCCACUUCCAUACUCUCUUUGGUUGGGGCAACCACGGAGCACAAUAAACCUCCGAAUUAACCUUUCCCCAGAUUCUAAAUCAAAAAUUAUGACUCCUAGAACCCAUGACCCAGAAACUUCUGACCAUUAAAUAAGUUACCGUAGGGAUAACAGCGUAAUCCCUUCCAAGAGUCCGCAUUGCCGAAGGGGUUUGCGACCUCGAUGUUGGAUCGGGUCAUCCUGAUGGUGCAGCCGCUAUCAAGGGUUGGUCUGUUC
rnacentral:rRNA from 1 species